GUAAAUAACAACUCAGAAACUCGAAAUCAAAAGAUCGUAACAUGCAGAUGAAUCUGUUCUUAGAUCUGAAAUAUUAUGAAAGGGAACAGACGAUUACCAUGCUAUCAUCAUACGUCGGGGAUUCUGCAUAAAUCUGAAGAAACCUGGUUUAUAUUAUGGAAACCAAGAGCAAGAACAAUGGUGGAUUCAUUGUCUGCUCCGGCUGCAAGAGAGGAAAGGAUAUAUAGUACUACAACCGUGAAAGAUAAGUUCCUUUAAACAAUUGUAAAAAGAACUAUUUAUUUAAAUAGAAAGUUCUUAGACUUUUAGUCUGAUAUAUUCUGUUGUAGUAAGUAGACAGUACCAAACGCUUACAUUCUCAUCAGCCAAGAUGAAUUUUAUGGUUUCCCUUGAUAGUUGUAUGUUUUGUUUUCAAGAGUGUAGAACCUUCACAUGAAUAAACCAUGUAUUUUUCGAGGGCCUCAAGUCUUU